GGCAACGUGGCCGAGUGGUCUAAGGCGCUGGAAUUAGGUUACUGCGGUUAUGUAGUGAAGAUAUCCAGUCCUCCGGGGCGUGAGUUCGAACCUCACCGUUGUCA